ACCGCAGUGUCGGCCGGC
rnacentral:misc_RNA from 1 species